UACGUAGACUGUUUUUUAAGUCUGUGGUCAAAUCUUAGGGCUCAACCUUGAGACUGCCAUAGAAACUGAUAAACUAGAGGGUGGAAGAGGUCAACGGAAUUGCCAGUGUAACGGUUAAAUGUGUUAAUAUUGGCAAGAACACCAUAUGCGAAGGCGGUUGACUAGUACACUCCUGACGUUAAGGUACGAAAGCGUGGGUAGCGAACAGGAUUAGAUACCCUGGUAGUCC
rnacentral:rRNA from 1 species